UCUUUCUGGCUUUACUCCAGCAGAUUUCAUCUCAUGGCAGGCAGCACAUCUCAGUGUGGGUAGGAGGAUGGGGAUGUAAUGCGUGUUUGCAGCAUUUUUGCUUAAGCACCAUCAUUUAAUGUGGCAGUGUUUAGUAAACAAGUCAGUGGGAAGGCACAGAAAGAAGGCUGGAUUGAAUGUCAAGAUUUUACUUGACAUCAAGUUGUUUUCAAUAAUAGAAUAAUUCCUUAAAGGUAUGCAGUGUACCUGGCAAUUCACAAAUAUCCAUUGAACAAAUAAGUGUUUGUUUUUUGUUGUUUGUUUGUUUUUAUGAGUUGCCUAUAUUUGAUAUUCAAAAUUUUGUAAAUAUGCAAGUCAGCUUUAUAAUUUUAUUACAAAUUUUCUAAGAUUCUUUAGGGGAGAAAUCAUAAGGAAUUUGAAAAUUACCAUGAAUACAUUUACAGUUAGAAUUUUGUUGUAAGAUACCUUUAAAAAUCUUAUCAAAUUCAUUACUUUAAUAGAAAAGAUAAUUAUCAUUCAAGUGAA